ACUUUUUUUUAUUUUCAAAUUUCUGAAUUAUUUUAACCUCUAAUCUCUAAUCACCACCCCUCAUCACUGCUCAAUUUAUCCUCUAAUCUCUAAUCACCCCUCAUCAUUCCAAAUCAUCUAACUUCCCGGACGGUCACCCAUCCUCUCACUACUCCAGCCUGAGCACGCUUAACUUCCGGGUUCUAUUCUCCCUCGUUUCCAAGUCUGCACUUGUUGUUUUCCUGACAAUAGUAAGAUGUCAAUUCUAUUAACCCUCAGGAAUUUAGCUUGAGCAUGAAGUGACACAUUUCACUGUUUGAGUUUGAAACUAUUGUUUUAAAAAACAAUAAUUAUUUAGUAACACUAAUAUUUCUGAAUAAUUAGUUUGACCAUUGUUUGACCACUGUUUGACCACAGUUUGACCAGAUUUGACCAAAAUUCAAAAAAACUGAAAUAAUUAUUUAAUAACACUAAUAUUCUAGAAUAAUUAGUUUGACCAUUGUUUAACCACAGUUUGACCACAAUUUGAAUUUUUUGCCUCUCCAGAUCUUAAAAGCUCCGUAACUUUUUUCUAUUAGGUUUUUGCCUGUGGGGCCUACUGGGCCUUCUGCGGGCCUGAAUCCUGGCCCAUGGAUGGGUUUCAAGUCAUAUUCAGGCCGUGGUGGCCCAGUAGGUGGCAUAAUUUUUUUCCCUGUUUUUUGUUUUCUCUUCUGCUUUAUUUAUUUUGUUUUGUUUCUACUUACAACAAAAAACUUAUUUAUUUUAUUCCAUUUUGUUUCUAAUUACUUAUGUAUUUUACUUUAUUUAUUUUAUUUAUAUUUAUUUUACUGCUGCUAUUUUUAUUUAUUUUACUGCAGCUAUUUUUAUUUAUUUUAUUAAGGUUUAUUUAUUUUAUUUACUAUAGUUUAUUUUAUUUUAUUUUAUUAAGGUUUAUUUAUUUUAUUAAGGUUUAUUUAUUUUAUUUACUAUAAAAAAAUGAACAUAGAUGCGCCUAUAGAGAAAAUUCACCCUAAAUUCAUAAUAAAUUUCUAUGAAAUUCAAAGAAAUUUACUCUGAAUUUAGGUCAAAUUCCCUGUAUAAGGGCAUCUAUUUUCACUUUGAGAGGAGCUCAACAAGGCAGAGAGGGACGGGCUUAUAAACCGGUGUGAGCGCCCUUCGGUUGGCGAGGUGGGACUAAACUCUAACCGCAACUAGGACCAACCCUUUAGUCCCGGUUUGUGGUAUGAACCGGGACUAAAGGGUGAGCCUCUGGUCCCGGUUCAAGCCACCAACCGGGACCAAUGGUGGUGGGCCAGGAGCGAGGCCCAUUGGUCCCGGUUUGUCCCACCAACCGGGACCAAAGGGGCCGGACGAAUCGGGACCAAUGCCCCCGCGAGGCCCGGCAGGCCCCUGGCCGCACGAACCAGGACCAAUGCUCACAUUAGUCCCGGUUCGUGACUGAACCGGGACUAAUGUGAAUAUUGCCCAGUGACCAAAGCCCAGUUUUCUACUAGUGAAUUAAGAUUUAACCUUCUCCAUCGUUGUUGUGCUUCAGUUGACAUUUACUCCAUUUUAACAAAAAACAUGUUUUCAUAUGAAUAUUAACUAAGAUACAUUGGAUCGAAUAAGCUUGAGACAAACACGAACAAUGAAGAGCGCUGGCAAAAUAUCUCUCUCCUAUUUUGAAUUUUUAUACCUAGUCCAUCAAUAUUAUAUUUUCCUUAUGAACAAUAAAGAGGUAGAAGUGAUCAAAUUUGACAUAAAUUGCUCAGAAGCGCAAAAGUCAUAGAGGUAGAAGUCGAAUGUUGGCUCGGGCCACAAUAAAUUGCAGAAACACAAGGACUUGCAUAUUGGCCCAAUACUAUCCAUUUAAUAGACAAAUGAUUUCCAUAUUUCUCUCGUUGUAGCUACAAGCCCGAGGGAGCUAUUUCUCGCUUAUAGCAAGAUGUAUGAGCUUUUCCAUGCGCGCUACAUUAAUGAGUCGACCCGUUUUCUAUCAUUUGUUCAUUGGCUUUGUUCCCUUCGGUUUUAUGCCUUUUCGUUAUUCUUUUGUUUCUUCAGUUUUAUUUCAUUGAUACUCGGUUUUAUCGGUUUCCUCUGAUUUUCUUAGUUUUUUGACCGGUUUUCUUUGUUCCUUUGUCAGUGUUCACUAGUUUUCUUCUUUUCUUUCUUUUGGUUUUUUUGUUUCUUUCUUGGUUUUCACUGGUUCUUUCUUUUAUUUCAUGUUUUCUUUAUUUUUUCUUCAGGUUUCUUUGUCUGUUUUGGAUUUCAUCGGUUUUCUUUGUUUCCUCCUCGGUUUCACUGAUUUCCAUUCUUUUGCACUAUUUUUUAUUAGGUUUCCUUUGUUUCCUUUUGGCUUUCAUUCACUUUGUUUGUUUUCUCUGCUUUCUUUUUUUUGGUUCAAUCAUUUUGUUCUCAUGUCAUAUGGAGCAGGAACCUUUCUUGAUACACAAUUCACAGUUAUUCAAAUAAAUGUUUUUUUGUACACAUUGAACAUUUUUUCAAAUACAUGAUUAACAUGGUUUUUCAAGAUAAAUGUUUGAUUUCAACUUUGUUCAUACACAUUCUACGUUUUCCGCAUACAUCUGAAACAUUUAACAUUUUCAAAUACAUAAUUAACAUAUUUUGAAAAUUAUAUUUUAUCUACUUUUGCCUACACAUUCAACAUUUCUAUAUACAUCAAGAACAUCUUUUGUACACAUAACGUUUUCCAAAUACAUUAACAUUUGUUCAAUGCAUGAUUAACACUUUUUUCAUAUAUAUGUUUUGAUGUCUAUUUUUGCCCAUACACACAGUACAUUUUUUAUUAACAUUAGGCACAUUUUUAUUAACUUUUAACAUUUGAAAUACAUGAUUACUUUUUCUUCAUUUUUUAAUGUCUAUUUUUUCAUACACAUUAUAAAAUUUUCAUAUACAUUAGAAAAAUGUUACUAUAAACAUUUAAGAUUUUCCAAAUGCAUGAUUAAUAUUUUGACUUAUAUAAAAUGAUUUUAUAAUAUAUUUAUAAUACUUCUGAAUUUAAGAAAAAGUAAAAACAUCAAGAAAAAAAAUGUAAAAACAAACAAAAAAGAGAAGAAGGCUGAAGCCCUGUGGUACCUGUUGGACUGGUCCAUUCUGGCAGCUUCGUCGCGUGAUUUCGCUACGUCACGCUGUCAGGGACACAUAGGGGUUCUACGCAAGAGCUAUAUCUUGCCUUAAGCGAUAUGGAAGGAGCUCUCGCUAAAGGUUGUGAUUAUACGGGAUGGUUCUAUUAGCCUAGGUUCGAUCGAUUCACUCCCUACGACUCACUGUACGUUUCCUAGCUCUAGGUUUUCUGCGGAUUUUUUCUUUUUCUUGUUUUUUUGGUUCCUUCUGUUUUUAUCUGUUUUCUUUGGUGUGUCUUUUUUCUUUGUUAUAACUUCAGUUUUUCACCGCUUUUAUUUGCUUCUUUCUCUGCUUUCAUAGACUUUUUUCUUCCUUUUUUUCUAUGGUUUUCUUUGUUUCUUUCCUGGGUUUUUUUAUAUCUACGUUUCUUCUUUGGUUUAAUUUUUUAUUUCCCGGUUUUCACUGGGUUUUUUCUUUUCCUUAUUUUUCUUCCAUUUUAUUUGGUUUCUUUGAUUGUUUUGGUUUUUUUAUAGUUUUCUCAUGUUUUCUUUGGUUUUUUAUCAUUAUCCAUUUUUUUUGUUCUUCUUUCAUUUUUAUUUUGUUUCUUUUUGUUUGUUUCAUGGUAUUUAUCCUUUUUAUUUUUUUCUCAUUUUCCUUCUAUUUUAUUUCUUAGGUUUCAAAGUUUUUUGUUUCACUUUGUUUCUUUAUUGGUUUUCAAUAUUUCCUCAUUUUUUCUUCGCUUUUGACAUUUGUUUCUUUUUUUAUUUUUAUUUCUUUGCUUUUCUUUGUUUACUAUGGUUUUUGUUGUACAUAUUUUGUAUAUGUCAACAAUAUUUUUCUAAUGCAUGUGCAACAAUUUUCCAGUACAAGUUUAACAUUUUUCUAGUACAAGUUUAACAUUUUUGUAGUCCCUGGUCAACAAUUUUUCUAUACACAUUUUUAAUAUUUUUCAAAUGAUGGAUUAAUAUUUUUCAAACCCAACAUUAAUGUUUUUUAAAUAUAUGGUCAAUAUUUUUCCUAUGCACACUUUAAAAAAAAAUCAAAUGCUUGAUUAACAAUUUUCAAAUACAAGAUUAACAUUAUCUAAUACAUGGCCAACUUUUUUGAAUUACACUAGAACAAUGCCCAUGCGUUGCAAUGGAUAUAAAUAUUGUAGUACGUUCGCUCAUAAUAGGCGAUUAAGUAAAUAAAUGUCCAUCAAAUUUUGUCCAUGAUAUACCUUAUAUUCUGAUCAGAAUUGAUUUCUCUGCCCAUAAUAUGUGAUUGUGUAAAUAAAUGUUAGCAAAUUCUGCCCUUGAUUUACCUAUAUUUUGAUCAGAAGUGAUUUACCUGCCCAUAGUAUGUGAUUGUGUAAUAAUUUUUUAUGAAAUUUUGUCCGUGAUUUACCUUAUAUAUUUUGAUCAGAUGGUUGGUAAGUAAAAUAAAGUGGAAUUUGCUCAGAAGGUAAGUAAAUUAAGGCGAUUGAUUAUUAUAUGGGGAAAGUUGGACGAACGGGUGGUGGGAAGAAAGGUGAAACAGAAACCUUGUGUUUUUUAAAUAUUGGAGAUAUAACAUUAUUUUAAUGCUUGAUUAAUAUUUAUUAAAUGCAAUAUUAACAUUUUUAACACAUGACCAACAUUUUUUCUAAACACAUUUAACAUUUCUAAAAUGAUUGAUUUACAUUUUUCAAAUACAUGUUCAAAUUUCUGAAUUAUUUUAACCUCUAAUCUCUAAUCACCACCCCUCAUCACUGCUCAAUUUAUCCUCUAAUCUCUAAUCACCCCUCAUCAUUCCAAAUCAUCUAACUUCUCGGACGGUCACCCAUCCUCUCACUACUCCAGCCUGAGCACGCUUAACUUCCGGGUUCUAUUCUCUCUCGUUUCCAAGUCUGCACUUGUUGUUUUCCUGACAAUAGUAAGAUGUCAAUUCUAU
rnacentral:lncRNA from 1 species